rnacentral:lncRNA from 1 species
CCUGUUUUGGCUCAGAUGGGAUUUUCGGGAUAAAUCCCGGAUCCUGGCCCGGAUUUUUCCAUGGAUUCCAUGGAUUCGAACCAAAAACUUGCCAAAAAUCCCCCCCGAGGAUUUGGAAUUUCAGCUGCUGGAAGGAGAAUUUUAUUGGGAUUUUUGAUCAGAAAUAUCAGAAAAUGAUUUUUUAGCUCCAGAAUUGGAAUUUUGGCAUCAAGCUCCAGGGAAAAAGUGAUGGGGAGGGAAAAGGAGGUGGAAAAAAUGGGAGAAAUCGGCAAUUUCCUGGGAUCAGAGGCGGACGUUGGAGUCCGUGAAUUCCCAAAUCCAGAAUUCCCAAAUAAAUCCUGGGAUUCCCGGGAUCACAGCCAGAUGUCGGAGGUGCCGUUCCCCAUUCCCGAUUCCCGGGAUUCCCGGGAUCACAGCCAGAUGUCGGAGGUGCAGUCCCCCCCCGGGUACCGCAUCUCGUGCGCCAGGCAGGGCCCGCCCGGCUCCUUCCCGAAAUCCACCAGGAAUUUGGGAUUGACGGCCAGGCCGCCCCGCUCCGUGUCCACGUCCAGCUGCAGCAGCACUGAGCCUUCCCUGGGGGCACCGAGACCACUUAACUACUCAUUAAUAAUCAAUUAUUAAUAAUUAAUAAUAAUUAUUAAUAAUUAUUAAUAAUUAUUAACAAUAAUUAAUAAUGAUUAAUGAUGAAUUCUUGCUGAUGUGGGCCCUGACCUGAGCAGCUCGGGGUAGAAGAGCCGGUCCCAGGCGCUGUACAGGGAGGUGCUCACGUAGAGCCGCCGCCCGUCCAGGCUCAGCUGCAGCAUCUGCGGCCCCCCCGGCACCUUCCUGCCCUGGGAACCCACAGGAAAUCAAUUAAUCAAUCAAUCCAUCAAUCAAUCAAUCAUCCCACAGGAAAUCAAUCAAUCAAUCCAUCAAUCCAUCAAUCAUCCCACAGGAAAUCAAUCAAUCAUCCCACACGAAAUCAAUCAAUCAUCCCACAGAAAAUCAAUCAUCCCACAGGAAAUCAAUCAAUCAAUCAUCCCACAGGAAAUCAAUCAAUCAAUCAUCCCACAGGAAAUCAAUCAAUCAUCCCACAGGAAAUCAAUCAUUCCACAGGAAAUCAAUCAAUCAUCCCACAGGGAAUCAAUCAAUCAUCCCACAGGAAAUCAAUCAAUCAAUCAAUCAAUCAAUCAUCCCACAGGAAAUCAAUCAAUCAAUCAAUCGAAAUCAAUCAAUCAAUCAAUCAAUCAAUCAUCCCACAGGAAAUCAAUCAAUCAAUCAAUCAAUCAUCCCACAGGAAAUCAAUCAAUCCAUCCAUCAAUCAAUCAUCCCACAGGAAACCAACCAAUCAAUCAAUCAAUCAAUCAUCCCACAGGAAACCAACCAAUCAAUCAUCCCACGGGGAAAUAAAUCCCACUGGGAAUCAUCCCA